GUGCAUUAGGUUUAAAAUCUAAAAAUGAUAUAAAAUCUUAUAUUA
rnacentral:tRNA from 1 species